CAGGUCGCGAUGCAACAGUCUAUACACUGACGGAGCGCGCUUGGCGAGUCGCUCAUUAUGGCAACGAAAGGGAAGCAAUCGUUUGGACGUUCUCUUGCUGUUCAGUAUGAAGUUGCAUUAUUGGAUAAAAGUCAAAGUGGCAAGGUUGCAACAGAAGAGAGGGCGAACAUUUGUUUUCAUCUUCUAGACGAACUGAUUCCUCAACUUGGAAUGUACCAGAAUGUCUUCAAAAUGAUAAGAGAUGAGCUGUUUGAGGCUGUCUAUAGUACAGAACUAACAGCAUUUCAGGCUCACACUGAAUCAUCAAACUCUGCUGUACAAAGGCUUCCAUAUUUUGUUCUGGUUCAGAGGUCGGAUCAGCAAAGAAAUGAGGCAUGUCUUUUACUGGAAGAUAAAAUAAAGAAGUUAGAAAACAGGUUGACAAUGAGAGAAGUUGAACUGCAAGAUGCACAGAAGAAAAUAGAGAUGUUGAGUAAAGAAACGAAGAGCCAUCAGAAAACUGCUGACACUAUGAAGAUUGAGGCAAAGAAGUUGAUGGAUGAAAAUAAACGGCUCUCUAAAGUGGUUGGUCAGCAUCAACGAGCACAGCAAAGAAUGGCCAUGGACAUGGAGUCAAGAAUGAACCAAAUGAAGAGUUCAUAUGGCACGUUGGCUAUCGAGUUAGAUAUGCUGCGCAAAUAUAAGGCUGGGUAUGAUGAGCUGGAACAAUCAUUUGCAGGUUCAAGUGCUUUAGAAAGAAACAACAGUGGAAAAGUUUCAGAACUGGAACAGACCAUACACACUCUGCAAUUGGGAGUUUCUUUGAAACAUCAACUGUUGGAACUGCAGAAUGUCAUAAUAGAGGAGUAUGACCUGCAAUUAGAAGAUCAUCGGCUUCCAUUGUUGCAUUUGGAUACAAUCUCUCAGUUUAGCAAGGACACAAUUGAAUUGCUGUCUUCUGCUGGACAGCAGUUUGUCAGUAGGAUUGGUGAGAUAACAGCUGAAAUGACUCAAUUAAGUAAGUGUGUUGAUCAAACACAAGAUCGUGUGACCAAACAGAAGCAACCACGGCAAAAGAGAAUCUCUAGUACUCGGACCCUCUCACAAUCUUGCUCUGAUGAUUUGUCAAGUAGGAAUGAGUUGGCAAAGAUGCAUCCUGUUAUGGCAGAACCAUCUUUCUCAUGUGUGUGGAACUAUUGGAAACAAGUCAGCAAGCUGGAGAGGGCAGUUCCACGUGAUCUACAACGAGAACGUGUUCUCUCAAUGGUAAAUCAGUUUUAUGCAACAAUGUUGUGGGAUGAUGAAUCAAAUACAGAGGAUGCUAUGUCAAUACUGGAUUCAUUACAUGAAUUUCUUGUAAAUCGUUACUUGAUUCCUGAUGUUGCUCAAUUGGUAUAUCAUGAUUUGAUAUGCGGAGUCAUCAAACAUUUGCCAUCAAGUCUUUCUAUUCACUUAUUUGGUGAUAUAUUAAAUGGUCGCCUGGAUGCUGCUUCAUUCCGCUACGUGCUCCUGCUAUGUGAUUUUAUCAGGCUGGUAGAAUGGGAAUCAGCACAAGACUUCAAGCCAUUUGCUACAGCAAUUUAUCCUUUCUUAUCAGAGGAUGAUGUUGAGCAGAUGACAAUGUCAUUUGUGGCCUUCUCAGAGAAUCGUGUUUCAAACCAUCUCAUUGCAAAUUACAUUAUCUAUCUCCUUCUCAAACAUAGAGAACCAAGAAUUGUAGAAUGUGAAGCACGGCUGUUACAGCAUCCUGGUCAUCGUUCUGGUCUCUUAAACGAGAUUGAGUUCACUGAGGCUUUGGAAACUCUUCUUCCAUUGACUUCUGAUCAACUUCGUAGGAGACUUUAUCUUCAGUCUCAAGCUGACAUGCCAAAAGGGCUUGAUGCAGUUCCUAUCUCUAGAUUAGCACAAACCUUUGCUUAUCUUGGUCUUCUUCAGCUUUCUGGUAUAAUCCGAGGAUCAUUAGUUUGCAAUGUCUUGGAAGGUCGUUCUCAAAAUCUCCUCUCGGCAACAUCGUCAUCAGAAAUGGCUUAUAGAUCUUUGUGCAGCCAUCAGUCGUUCAGAUUCCGGACUACCACAUAGCAGACAGCCUUUUGUAUCUUUGACUACUCUGACAACGGCCUCCAAGUCUUUGAAAACGGCACAGUUAUAAACCUAAUAGAUAUUACUACACACCUAGAUUAUAUUGGCAUGGGAGACACUUGCUUCCAAUGAGUCAACCACACAGAGCCCAACAUCUGGUCGUGGUGCAUCACCUCAUCAUUGCACAGGACUUCCAGCUAAGAAGUGACAGAAUGUCGUAUUAAUUUUAAACAUAUUCUAGAUGCAUGAUUUAGAGUCAGUGACGUAAUUAAUAAAGAAAAAAGUAC